GCUCCCGUAGCUCAGUUGGUUAGAGCGUCGUACUAAUACCUGACAAGUGUCAAGUAUAAAGCAAUGCGAAGGUCACAGGUUCGAGCCCUGUCGGGAGCA
rnacentral:tRNA from 1 species